rnacentral:tRNA from 1 species
GGGGCUGUGGGGUAGCUACAGACCCGAGGACCCGCCCUCGGUCUGCUCUAUUGGUCCAUCCUUCGGGCUUUGGGAGCCCGGGACCCCGAUUCAAAUUCGGGCAGCCCCA